rnacentral:rRNA from 1 species
CCUACGGGUGGCUGCAGUAGGGAAUCUUCCACAAUGGGCGAAAGCCUGAUGGAGCAACGCCGCGUGUGUGAUGAAGGGUUUCGGCUCGUAAAACACUGUUGUAAGAGAAGAAUGACAUUGAGAGUAACUGUUCAAUGUGUGACGGUAUCUUACCAGAGAGGAACGGCUAAAUACAUGCCAGCAGCCGCGGUAAUACGUAUGUUCCAAGCGUUAUCCGGAUUUAUUGGGCGUAAAGCGAGCGCAGACGGUUAUUUAAGUCUGAAGUGAAAGCCCUCAGCUCAACUGAGGAAUUGCUUUGGAAACUGGAUGACUUGAGUGCAGUAGAGGAAAGUGGAACUCCAUGUGUAGCGGUGAAAUGCGUAGAUAUAUGGAAGAACACCAGUGGCGAAGGCGGCUUUCUGGACCGUAACUGACGUUGAGGCUCGAAAGUGUGGGUAGCAAACAGGAUUAGAUACCCGUGUAGUC